AAGGAAGUUCCCUGGAUUUAUUUUGACAUAAUGUGACUAUUCCACUAUUGAUAAUGGCAUACUAGUGUUGACCCAUCAGAUUUUGACCUGGUUAAUUAGGUCAUGGUUGGGCCAGGUUUUUAGCUUUGGACAGUGCCUGUCCCGAGAUAAAUGUAACGGCCCACUCUAUUUAUUAUAUGUACCCGAUUGUUCCAUAUCAUAUGUAUACUUUGAAAAUCAAUUUUUUUGUUACAAAAAAUAAAAAAAUAUGAUAAGUUUAAA
rnacentral:misc_RNA from 1 species